UUACUAUACUAUAAUACGUAUAACACCAGUUCGAAACACUGUAAUCGCACAUUUCAUGACGUUGGUUCGAUACAGUCGUAAAUUCUCAACUGCCCGUGUCUUUGUAACAAAUUUAAUAAUAUAGGUAUAUACUUAAGCGUUUCGUAUCGCUUAACGUGAUUUUGGAAUUUUUAAUUGUUACAUUCAUAAUUCAGUAUGUCGUUUAUCUGCUUGACCAUUAUAACUAUGAUAUUAUAGUAUAUUACGAGUAUGUAUUCUCAGUUUUAAAAGCAUAUCUUGGUGUCCUGACCGGUUGUGAGAUGUUGAGAGUAAAUAUGUACACUUUUCCGGACAAACUGAAUUUACUGAAUGACCGUUCAAGACACCGCCGCGGGAUAUGCCUUUAAAACCGGGACGAAUGGCAAACCUGCCUAUCACCAUAUAAUGUAAUAUGUAUAAUUUAUAGCUGUAUUUGUUUAAUUUAUAUUAUGCUUUAAUUAUGUAAACGAUU